rnacentral:lncRNA from 1 species
CUUCAGAAGUUACUGCUGAUGAUUUCUUCUUUGAUGGAUUGAGCAAAGAAGGCAACACAGACAAUCCUUUUGGUUUUGGGGUCACACAAGGAAAUGUUCUUACAUUUCCAGGACUCAAUACACUUGGGCUAUCCAUGAACCGUGUUGACCUUGCUCGGGGAGGAAUAAACGCACCUCACUCACAUCCCCGUGCCACUGAAAGUAUCGUUGUUAUUAAAGGGAAGGUUCUUGUUGGUUUUGUGUCAACGAGUAGUGUGUACUACUAUAAGGUUUUGACUGUUGGACAGAUGUUCGUUGUUCCCAGAGGACUUGUUCAUUUCCAAUAUAAUGUUGGGCAUGGGAAAGCAACUCUGAUCACAGCUUUCAACAGUCAGUUGCCGGGGGCUGUGGUCGUGUCCCGAACUUUGUUCGCUUCAAAUCCUCCCCUCCCUGUCGAAAUUCUAACCAAGGCCUUCCAAGUCGAUGCUAGUGUUAUCAACAGCAUAAAGUCCAAAUUUGCUUAAUUUCACUCAGUUUGUCAAAUUUACUGAAUAUUGAUACUUUUCUGCACAAUAAUUUCAUUCAUAGUCUUGAAUAUGAAUGAAUUAGCCUUACGGAUUGGAAGGUAGAGUCAUGUGAGAAUCUUUUGUAUUAUUCAUCUGUUCUUGAUACUUGCACAUCUGUUGUUCAGUGAAAUGUCAGUAUAAUAGAAUAACGUAUUAAAUUAAAUAAACAAACAAACCACUUUAUUUAUUUAAUUCCAUUAUUAUAAUUCGUUCUUUUUUACAUCAUCUGGUAUCGUAUGCUCGAGAAUAGAAUAAUGUGCUAGGUGUCAAAAUCCCAGUCCUUCAUUAAGCCCUAAACAUUUUAGAAAAAUAUAAAUGUUAUGUAACGUUCUAGAUCCAUGAUUUAAAUUUUGGAACCAUGGUCGGACAUUUCCAUAUAUCUUUCUAACAAGAUUUCUUUGAAGGCCGCCCUAACAUAAAGUUCUCAAAAUAAAUAGUCAUAAAAUUCAUCCACUAAAAAAGGAAACGAAAAAUAAUGCACACCUUGUUAGUAUUAGAUAGUAGUUAUCGAUUCUUUUUAGUAUUUCUUGAUCAUACUUUGAUAUCUUUCGGAUGUUUUUUGUUUAGAUGUUGUUUUGAUUCAUUUAUGUGCACCUUUUAAAUUUUGGGAUUACAUGUUAUUUGAACUUCUAAGCCAUGCAAUAAAAUUCUAUGCUGCUAGCCUCGGGUUUCGUAUUGGGUCAAAAGGGAUGGUUUUAGCCUUUAAGUGGAUAAGAAAAAAAAAAUGAAAAAAUCGUUUAAAAAAAAGGAUUUUUUUUUGUAUUUUUAAAAACAACAAAAUAAAUUAAAAUAUUUACAUGCUAUAACAAAAUUUUGGAUUCCAUCAAUAAUAGCUAGAAAUAAACUUUUACCGCUAGAAGCAUAUCAUACCAGUGACUAUUAAUGUCUAUUGAUAGAAUUUGAAAAUUUUGGUAUAUGUUAUCAACAUUUUGUCAAAUUUGACAUUUUUGACAAAUUUUUUUUUCAAAAGUAGAAAAAUUGACAAACUAUUUAUACUAUAUAGAACAAAACCACUAAAAAAUUCAUAUACAUUUGAUUUUUUUGUGUACAAACACAUAUUUGUCAAAUGUUAUAUUUUUUACAAUUUUCCUACCAAAAUGAAAUUGAUUUGAUAUGGCGUUCCGUCAUGAAACGUAAUAUAUAUAUAUUUCAUAAAUGGUAUUAUUCAUAGAAGAAAAUAAAAGUUGAUACUGUCGAGGAGUUUGUUAAAAAGAAAAUUCUUAAAAAAGAAAAAAGGAAAAAGACAAAAAAGGACAAAACGGAAAAAUGCAAAGAGAACUGAAAAAAGGCAAAAGAGCCUUGCAACGUGUUGGCAGAUGAUUGGGCCAGAUGGGGCUGCAGAAGCUGGCUGCAGCUCUCCAUUUGUACUGUCUUUUCAAAGUUUGAAUGUUUGUUUAUAGAUAAAGAUUGGGCAUGGGUUGUUCUCUUAAGCUCUUACCCUAUAUGGAAGUUCUUUUGUUGGGACCAUUGAACAUUGUAAUUAUGUUAACAAUAUUGGAUCAAAGUCGGCAACUAAUUCUUAUUUAAAGUGAUCUUCUUUUCCUUGUCCCUUUCUUUUACUAGUUGUUAGUACACAAAUGACAGUAUAAAAGUUCGUAUAAAUUAAUAUCAAAUUCAGUUCUCUUUCUAUUACUUGUUAACUGAGGCUUGAGAUUAUUCGGUUAAAUUUCAAUAUUUAAAGCUCUCAACUCUCUUAUGUUCGAGGCAUUUAACUAAAAAACUUUAGUUAGUAAAUUCAUCCCCUGGAGAAGAAAAGCUCAUGAAGUUGUGUUUAUUGAUAGCGGUUAUUGAAUUUAACAAGUAAAAACUAGAGAAACUUAUGUUUAACUUCCUUGACAGUUUUGUUUAAGAAGGAUCAAAAGACUAAAAAUGUUUUAAAGUAUGUAACGUGUAUCCGAGUCUAUCGUGACAUAGAUAGUAGUGUAUCGAUAAAUAGUAAAAUAUAACAUAAUAUUUUGUUUUAUUUUAAACCAAAUCUUUGUUUAAUAUAAGUUUAUUUUAUGUUAUAUCCAUUACGGCUAAUGUUAAUCCUUUAGGAUUCUUAUACCUUAAACAAAAGUAACUUUAACCUAUAUAUAAUUUUAUUUGGUUAUAAGCGAUGCGUUUGGUUUGACUUUCGAACUACUUAUAAACACUCAGAAAGUCAAUCUAAAUUAGCUACGAUAUAAAAAAAUUGAUAAGUCGAUAAGUAAACAUUUUUUCAUAAAAACCCUAAACAGAAUCUUUCCUUUUGACCAUAGACAUAAGACAUGACGUAUGGAAAGUACAUAGUAAAGAACAAAAUCAAAACUAAACAAACUCUUGUACCCCAAACUAAUCAACAAUCCAACCUAGUCUUCACAAAUUUUUUGUAUUUUCUGACUUUGUCAAUAAUCUUAGUUCUUAGCUUUUUAUUAUUUGUAACGUCUUACUUAGUAAGUCUCGCCAAUUAUUAGAUCAUGAUCCCCUUCAUGCAAUUUUUUCCAUUCACAUGAUUUUACUUAACAAAAAAGAUUCUUAGUCGGCACCCAAACUUUCCUACAACUAUAUAUUGAACUCAAAUUCUCUACUUCCCUUAACCAACUCUUCAGUACUCAACUUAACAGUACAAAAGUACUUUUCUUUACCAUGUUCAAACUCAUUUUACACACCAUGCUCCUAGUUUCCUUCAUUUUCCUUAUCCUUCUUCCUCAUCCUUCCUCGUCAACCGAUCCCGACCCGUUGCAAGAUUUCUGUGUUGCUGAUCUAAAUGCAACUGUUUCUGUUACUGGAUUCCCCUGCAAACCAAUUUCUGAAGUUACUGUUGAUGACUUCUUUUAUGAUGGUUUAAGCAAAGAAGGCAACACAAAGAAUCCAUUUGGUUUUGGUCUUACACCAGGAAAUGUUCAUGCAUUGCCUGGACUUAAUACACUCGGUUUAUCGAUGAAUCGUAUCGAUCUUGCUCCCGGUGGAAUGAACCCUCCUCAUUUGCAUCCUCGAGCCUCCGAAAUCGUUAUCGUCCUUAAAGGGAGGGUUCUUGUUGGAUUUUUGACAGUUGAUAAUGUGUAUUAUCAUAAGGUUUUGAAGGUUGGGGAGCUGUUUAUCAUUCCUAGAGCACUAGUGCAUUUUCAGUAUAAUGUUGGACGUAAGAAAGCAGUUGUGCUUGCAGGUUUCAAUAGUCAGUUGCCAGGAGGCGUGCUCGUCGCCGGGAAUUUGUUCGCUUCGAAUCCUCCAAUUCCCAAUAAAAUUCUGUCUAAGGCUUUACAAGUCAAUGACGAUGUUGUCAAAACCAUCAAGUCCGAUUUUAUUCUUUAGGCAUGUCACUCAAGUUUGGAUUUACUUGUGAAGGCAUUUUUGGGAGUGAUUUUAAAAAUGUUAAAAUUAUUUUUUUCAUAUUCAAAAUGAUUUUUUUAAUAACUCAAAAUCAAAUAUGUUGUAUUAAAGUGAUGUUAUUUUGAAAGAAUGAAAGAUUAUUUUUUAGUGUUUUUAACUAUCUUAAAAUUACUCUCAAACAUACCUUUCGUUUUUAUUAUCAGUUUGUUCAUUGCACAAUAAUCACAUUCAUGAUCUUGAAUGUGAAUGAAUUAGUUUUACUGCUUACGAAGUCAUGUGAUUAAUACUUUUAUGUAAAUAUAUUAAGUAUUUGGAUUGUAAAGAUAAUGGAACAUUGUGUUAAGCAAACAAAUACACCCAUUUAUAGUUCUUCCUUUUGCAUCAUAUGUAUUAUUGUAUCAUAUUGUAAAGAAAAAUUGAAAAUAUCGAAGCCUUAAUUUGUUGGAAGUAUCAUAAUAUUUAUGAAAAUGAACGAAAGUUAAUGAAACUUUGACUGUGACUUAAUUAAAAUAAAGAUAACAUCUAGACACAUAUUGUAAAUGCUAAAUAUAUGUGUAAAUAUCGAUGCAAGAACAAAAAAUUUAAAAAAAAUUACAAAAAGAUAUUAAAUAUUGGAUGAUAAAAGAAACAAAACUCACGUCAAUUCAACUUUAGAGUGAAAUGAUGUGAAAAUUCUAUUUGUUUUUUUGAAAAUGAAAGUUUUGGAUUGACCCUAAAGUUAAAAAUUGCAAAAAAAUAAUAUAUUGAAAAAACUGAAUAUUGGAAAGAAAAUAACAAAAGCAUCUCAAGAAUAAUUUAGAGAUAUAUGAGCAAUAUUUUGAGAUUAUAACAACUAUAUUCCGCCGUUAAUCGAUAGAUUGUUGAUAAUCAUCACCAAUGAAUUAUGAAUUUUAGAGAAAAACAAUAUUACACACCAAUAUUUGUAUUGGUCAAAUAUUUUGGUGAUAUUUCGACAAAAUAACACAAUAUUUUAUCAUUCCUUAGAGAUGACAUUGAAAUUCGAAACUAUGUAUUUGAUGUGUGAUAAAAAACCAAGACCAUAAACUUGAAUGAAUUGAGCUAUCAAUCAAAUUCUAAACUAAAACAAAAACUAUACAAAAGUUUAUUGAAGUGAAGAAAAACAAAAUUAUCCCCUAAUAAAAUCUCAAUUAUCUUCCUCCAAAAUUUAAUUUUACACCAUGUUCUUGAGAAUGGAAGAAAGUGCAAGGUGUCAAACCACCACUGGCCUAUCAAUUUGCACAAACUAUAGACAUUUUCUAGACAAUCUUUCGGAUCAAAUAAUCAGAGAGAGAGAGAGAGAAUAUAUCUUUGGAUUCAUCAAGUCCAUUUAGGCAGUAAACAGGAUUAAGAGCAGUAAUGGAAGCUUAGUAGGUUUUUUCUCCAGUACAACUGCAGUCCAGAUUUAUCAGUCAGUAAGUUACAAAUUGGAAGUAGGUUCAAUUUCUGUAGAUGAUACAAGUAAUUGAGCGUUCCAAUUAUAUCGAAUGGUCCCUAAGGGGAAUAAUACAAGUAUUUUAUACUAAAUGAUCAAACAUAUAUAUAUAUAUAUAUAUAAUAUAUAUAUAUCUACUGAACUAAAUAAUGAGGAAGCCAAAUCAAUUUUGACAUUUGAUUAUAAGAAGCCUAUUGAGAUCUAAGACGUUCUUUCAAAACCUCCACCGAUUUGCAUAUGCAACCAUUCAGUUUGUGCACCUUGGGUAUAAUCUCUUGCUGCUUGUGAACCAUAUAAUAUUCCAGCUGCAUCAUAUGGUUGAUUAACGAUCUGAAAUGUCAGAUAAGAGAGUUAAGAAAUAAUUCAAUCGCAACAGAUUUCUACAAAAUGAAAGUUGUUCUAGGAGCGUGUUAAGAACAUCUGAAGAGGGAGAGAGGCCGGAGGAGAGUUGAGUGACUAGCUUAAGCUCCCCACAACUAAUCUCACAAGACAAUUUGACCCUACAACAUUUGGGUAUCCUUUUAACCUCUUUUAUAUCCUGAAUUUUUUGAGUGAAGCCAAUUUAACUAAGAAUAAGAUAAGAAACCUUCAAGAUUAUGGAUUGGCCCACUAUUAAAAUAAAUGUUUAAAGAUGGCGAUAGCAACUUGAAACUAUACCAUUGGAACCAACGUGAAGUCGCCAACUACGUUAAUUACCAAAUAAAUCAUAUGCCCCUCAUGCACACAAGCGAGAUACCUUUGGUGCAAAAAAUUAUAAACAUAAAGCCCACAAAGAAACAGCCAGCCAAGUUUAAAUUUGUGGAUGUUGUGGUGAAAAGAAGCAAUCAAAACUGGGCAUCUACCUGUUUCCUACGCUAUUUUGAAAUUAGAGUUUUAAGAAGUAGUAUGCCACAUUAAAUGCUUUUCAUCUAGAUAAGAUGGCCAAUCAGCAAUGGCUAACCGACUCCUUUUUGUAUUGCUUUUCUCUUGAUACAUGAAAUGAGAAUCAGACUUACAUUUUUUACAGUAAAACCUUCAAUGCCAGGGGUUAUGUUCAUCCUGGAAUUCACAGCUUCAAGUUUCAUGGAGAGGAACUACAAAUUUGAGCCAGAUGUACAAAGCUCAGAUUAAAUAAGAAAUAGUUUUGAAUAAAAAAGAAAAAGUCAGGAUUAGAGUAUAUACCUCGACCUGACGUUGCAGUGAUUGGAUAUAAUUUAUUAUCUCAUCAAGGACAAGUGCUUUUCCAAUAACCUAACAGGUAGGAAGAACAUGCAUGUGCAAGAAAAAUUAUAAUUUGAACUUGAUUUUCAAUACGACUGCAACCAAACUCAAAAUUAACAUCCCCCCAAUUCUUAGGAAAAUUCAUCCCUGAACCACUAGAAUAAUGACAAUUUAAUCUCCGGAUUUCUAAUUUGAUCACUCUUGUCCUUCAACAUGACUAAUUGUUUAUGUUACGAUGUAUCAUGCCCCCACUAACAUCAUCAACUUUUCCAUUAACAUUGGCCUUUUUCCUGGGGUAAAAAUUACAAUUAAUGAAAGCUCAGAGACAUUGAUCUUUGUUGUAGUGCUCUGCUCUUAAUUUUUUUAGAUCACUCCCACUGAACCACUCUCAAAUUUUCCUCUCAAUAGUUAUUUUUCUCAGUGACUUCAUUGCAUGCCGCUGUUCUCAUUUCUUUUUUUCUCUUUAACUCCCAAAUUUGCUGCUUCCUCCUCUUCUUACACAGUUUUUCUCUCUGACUUUACAGACAUCGAAAGAAUGAAGAAUGUACUGGCUUUGAAGGAAAGCUUAUUGGAUAUAGUGGUAGUGGCUGUGUUGCAACCAUCACUCAUGUUUAGGCGUAAAAUUGACCAACCCCUUCCCUCUCACAUCUUAGAUCAAUUAAAUCUAGCGUUUAGGAGAGAGAGUGGUCAUCUUCUCACAUAAGCUCCUCCAAUAAGUUUCCAGGUGUUUAGCACUUGAAAUGGCAGGGAUUACAUUGCAGUAAUUUGAUUGGCCUUAAAAUUGAUCAAGUUAGAAGUCAGAAAUCUAAAUUUUACCUACUCUUACAGUUCAGGGUUGUUUCCAGAAAUCUAAAUUGUACCUAAUCUUACAGUUCAGGGUUGUUUUUUUAAACUUUCUCCCAAUAGCUAUUUACACACAAAGUAACAGAUAAAGAGUACCUUGUUACAACCUGGAACCAAGUCCUGCAAAAUUUUCAUUCUCUCACUGAUCUUCUCUCUUCUAGCCUGCACAUAAGGCUAUAGUAAGGCAAACAGGCAAAAAUUUGGGAGUAAGGGAUAAUGGACAUAUAAACAGUCCAAAUCUCCACCAGAAACUUGAAGCUAUUAGAAAAAAUGGUAAGAACUAUCUGAUAAAUGAUUGAGAUAUUCAAAUCCCAAACAACUGAGAGGAGUACAUUACUCUUUCUGCUAAACUAUGGCUAUCAGUAGCUUGGCCCCUUCUUGCUCUGACAUGGAUGUAAUCUUUUGGUGGUUCGGGUUUCGGGCUUUGCUCGGCCAGCUUCUUACCAUCUGAUGAGUUAGGAUCUACUUCAGCUUUUAUACCACCAUUUUCAUCUCUGGAUUCCACUACUUUCAUCCGUUUAUCAUUUGAAUUACUCUGUAUGAAAUGGAACGUACAAAAUAAAUUGGCGAUUACUACCUUGAUCAAUAAGUCAAAGAUUUGACAACUGAUUGAAAAUUUUAAAUACAACGUGCUUAAAUGUAAUUAGCCAGUGUCGAGAUAUAUGAUCACUGCAUACAUCAAUGGGCAAGUCAAGUUUCUUGAUAAUCUUGGAACAACAAUAAUGGUUAUAUAAAGAUUAAUAGCUGUUUUCUCUUCAAUGGGAGCUCCUCCCUUCAAAAAAGAAAGAAAAAGAGUUCCAUCUUUUAAAAGUGAAACACCGAACAAACAGUAUACAAAUUUGACCAGUAUCAUUUUUGUCCAAAACUGGGUCAACGUAGCCAAAUUGAGAGCAAAAGGGAAAAAUGAGAAAGAAAACAAAAAAAACUAACCAAUUGAUUAGCACUACUAGUGGAAACCAUUCUCGAAGAUUCAUCUUCAGAGCUCACAUCCUUCCUCUUCCUCCCACCGCCACUCUGCUCCGUCACUGUCGAUUCUUCCAUUGACCCAUCACGAUUCGUGGAGCACUCACGAAACCCACCAAGAUUCUGAGCCAAAUUAGCCAUUCGAAGCCCCAAUACACUCCCACCCUGGUCCCCCCCAAAAGGCCAAAUCGAAGCCAAGCUGUAAGAAGAAGGAUUCGCAGCAGAAAAGGAGGAUUCGUUAACAAGGGGAGGAUCCAUUUCCGCUGACCCAAAUGACCCAGAAGCAGUAAUUCACAAGGGAUCAAAAUCAAAUGUCAAUGUGGGACUAGCGGAGAGGAAUCGAAGAGGUUUGGGGUAUGAAUUUGAAGAUGGGGAUUCAGAAUUGGAGUCAAAGUGUAGGUAGUGAAGACGUUAUUUAUGAAGCUACUUUGGGGAAGGGAAGAGAAGGGAUUGGGUUUUGGGAUGGGGUCCGAGAGAAGCUUUGCUAUGCGACGAGAAGGAGAGAGAUACUGUGAUCUUUUUAGGCAGUGGCGCACACUGUGCUACGAGCUUCCAUUUCUCUCACUCGCCUGUAAUUUUUGACUCAAAGGAAGAGUGAAAAGAUAGAAGCUUUUAUGAGGCUAAAAAUUCCAUCUCACUUCUCUAAUGUUUAUUUCAUAUACACUAUUUUUAAAAUUUAAAAUAUUACCCUUCACAUUUCAAAGAACAAACUCAACCUUAUUUUUAGUUUAACUUUUUAAGCUAUGUUUUAUCAAAAGGUUGGAUGAAAUAAAUUAAAAGAAAUAUGAGUUUGUAGGACACAUGACUUAAAAAAGAAACAUUCAAAACCUUAGAAUUUUGGAUGAAAACUAUCCCAUAAAUGUUUGACAAUUCAAAUUUGUGUUUUAGAUCAAUAUUAGUUGAAACUUAAUUACAACCCAUAAAAAUUAUAGGUAUUUUAUGAGCAUCCGACUCUCAACACAACAUAUAUUUUAAAAUUUUGUGAAAGUUUUAAUAGUAAAACCGUUCUUGACAUACUUACCCAAAACCUUUACAGUACACAUUUUGCCACGGACAUCCUAAUCCAUUUCAUUUCGAUAUUUAAUUUAAAUUUGGGAUAACUAUAU